rnacentral:rRNA from 1 species
GACGAACGCUGGCGGCGUGCUUAACACAUGCAAGUCGAACGAAGAGCGAUGGAAGCUUGCUUCUAUCAAUCUUAGUGGCGAACGGGUGAGUAACGCGUAAUCAACCUGCCCUUCAGAGGGGGAUAACAGUUGGAAACGACUGCUAAUACCGCAUACGAUCUAAUCUCGGCAUCGAGGAUAGAUGAAAGGUGGCCUCUACAUGUAAGCUAUCACUGAAGGAGGGGAUUGCGUCUGAUUAGCUAGUUGGAGGGGUAACGGCCCACCAAGGCGAUGAUCAGUGGCCGGUCUGAGAGGAUGAACGGCCACAUUGGGACUGAGACACGGCCCAGACUCCUACGGGAGGCAGCAGUGGGGAAUCUUCCGCAAUGGACGAAAGUCUGACGGAGCAACGCCGCGUGAGUGAUGACGGCCUUCGGGUUGUAAAGCUCUGUUAAUCGGGACGAAAGGCCUUCUUGCGAAUAGUGAGAAGGAUUGACGGUACCGGAAUAGAAAGCCACGGCUAACUACGUG